GGGCCCGUAGUUCAGCUGGUAGAACACCGCAUUCGCAUUGCGGAGAUCACCGGUUCGAAUCCGGUCGGGUCCA
rfam:Candidatus Buchananbacteria bacterium RIFCSPHIGHO2_01_FTLL_39_14 rifcsphigho2_01_scaffold_4255, whole genome shotgun sequence.